ACUCCAGUGCAUGGGGUAAGACCCAUGCUUUUCUUGACUCUAAAUAGGUCUUGGAAUAAGGGGUGGGUAAGGACGGUGCCAGCCGCCGCGGUAAUACCGGCGCCUCAAGUGGUAGUCGCUUUUAUUGGGCCUAAAACGUCCGUAGCCGGUCUGAUACAUUCGUGGGUAAAUCAACCAGCUUAACUGGUUGAAUUCUGCGAGGACGGUCAGACUUGGGACCGGGAGAGGUGUGGGGUACGCUCAGGGUAGGGGUAAAAUCCUGUCAUCCUGAGCGGACCACCUGUUGCGAAGGCGCCACACUAGAACGGAUCCGACGGUCAGGGACGAAGCCUAGGGGCACGAACCGGAUUAGAUACCCGGGUAGUCCUAGGUGUAAACGCUGUGGACUUGAUGUUGGGGGUGCUCCGAGCACUCUCAGUGUCGAAGCGAAGGUGAUAAGUCCACUGCCUGGGAAGUACGGUCGCAAGGCUGAAACUUAAAGGAAUU
rnacentral:rRNA from 1 species